rnacentral:rRNA from 1 species
AUGCAGGUCAUGGAGAAAGCCCAUAUCAUGAAGACUGAGCUCCAGAUGAUUGAAGAGAUAAUGCGUACGAACGGCUGCAGGAGGUUGAGCGUGAGAAGGUGGACGCUCGUCAGCCUGUACAGUAAGAUGACUAUCAGAGAUGUGUCCCGAGGAGAUGAGCCCCAAACCCUUGUUAAAACUGGGAGUUCAGAGCUUGUUCCCCGCAGUAGAUUAUUUGUUUUGUCUUUGGUUUGGUUGGUUGUCGCCGAACACCUAUGCCGUGACGACGAUGCAUUUCAUGUCUAUAAUGCAUUCUGCAGUGUAAGUCAUUAG